GAAGGAGGUGCAUCCUGCUGCAGCCAUGCCGCGUGUAUGAAGAAGGCCUUCGGGUUGUAAAGUACUUUCAGCGGGGAGGAAGGUGUUGUGGUUAAUAACCACUUCUAUUGACGUUACCCGCAGAAGAAGCAGCGGCUAACUCCGGGCCAUCCCCCGCGGAAAUACGGAAGUUGCAAUCGUUAUUCACAAUUACUGGGCGUGCACCGCACGCCCGCGAUCUGUCAUUACCGAUGGGAACUCCCCGGUUUCAACCUGGGAACUGCAUUCGAAACUGGGUGCUUCUUCCUUGUAUAGGGGGGUAGAAUUCCGUUAGUAGCGGUGAACCUUCCUCCCAUCUGGAAGAACUUUACUGGCCAAAGGCCCCCCCUGUACAAACACUGAGGCUGCAUUGCGCUUGCGUGGGUUGCAAACAUAUUCCUUACCCCUGCCUCCA
rnacentral:rRNA from 1 species